UUACUUCACUGAAGAAACAUACAAGGUGAUGAUCUAUGUCUGUCUAGUUUUAGGACUUAGUAUAUCUAGCUUGGCUGAGUAAUUUUUUCUUUUAACCAGUAAACAGAAGCCACUGCAGCAGGCUUCAAAGCUAAAAUAUUGCUCUGUGUAGACUGUCUGUAUUUUUGUAGCUUAUGUUUUGAAUUUAUAGCAUUAUAGUGUGCUGCUUAUCAUUUGGAUUAUAUUGUAUAAAGAUAACAAAAUAAGCUUUAAAGUCUUCUUUAAUUAUUUUUUCUACUUUAUUUAUAACUGGCAUCUUUCCUAUUGUAUUGAGUUAAAUAUAUCUAACAUUAUUGCUUUGCUUUUUUUAAUAUGUUUAGUUGUUGAUGGACCUUUAUUUUAUUUAUUUAUUUAUAUGUAGGACUAAGAAUUGACCCCAGUGCCUUACACACAUGCUAGGCAAGUGCUCUACCACUGAGCUACCAUCCCAGCCCUUGUGUUUUUUUUUUAAUAUUUAUUUUUUAGGUUAGAUGGACUCAACACAAUGCCUUAUUUUAUGUGGUGCUGAGGAUCGAACCCAGGUCCCGCCUGUGUUAGGCGAGCGCUCUACCGCUGAGCCACAAUCCCAGUCCCCAGCCUUUGCUUUGCUUUUAUUUGUAUUCAACACGAAGCAAGUUUGAAAUGUUCUGUAUUUUAUAAUAAUCAUGCAGCUUCCAAAGUAUCAAGGUUAAGAAAUAAAAGUCACUGCAGAAAUUAUUAGGACAGUGUCAGAAAAAAAUGAAUAAUUUCAAAUUACAUGGUUAAUAACAUGUUUAUUGAAGAUACCGUAUAUCUUUACCAGAAACCAGAAUAUAUUCUCUUUUCAAAGUUACCUCCACUCUUCUUUUCAGUUUAUUUGUUCAUUAUUGAUAAAAGUGAUUUCACAGUGUGCUAUAAAUUAUAAAAUGCUGUUGGGUUUAAUAGUCUUACAAAGUUUUAUUUGGUUACUUGGACGAUUUUUAGACUGCUUUGUAUUUAGCAUUGCAGGUUAUAUUUCUUUCUCUCUUUUCUCCUUUUAAAAGUAUUUUAUAUGUAGGCCACUUCCGGAAUGUUAUACAGGUUCGGAUCCCUUAUUUGAAAUGCUUGGGACUCAAAAAGUGCUUUGGAUUUCAGAUUUUUUUGUAUUUUAGAAUAGUUGCAAAUACAUAAUUAAUUAUAUUUGGUGGGGACCCAAUUCUAAAUCCAGAAUUCAUUUAUGUUUCACAUAUACCUUGGUGGGGACCCAAUUCUAAAUCCAGAAUUCAUUUAUGUUUCACAUAUACCUUUAUAUAUAUAUGUACAUAGGUAAUUUUAUAUAAUAUUUUUUUAAUGUAUCUAUAUUUUGGCUGUGUCUUGUCACAUGAGCUCAGGUGUGGGAUUUUUUUAUUUGUAAUUAUGUUGGUGCUUAAAAAGUUUCCAAUGUCAGAGCAUUUCAGAUUUUUGGAUUAGAGCUGCUCAAACUACAUAUAUUCAUUUACUUUAAAAAAAAAAAAAAAACAUGGUGUCAUUAAAAAAAAAAAAACUUUUAUUUUGUUUAUUUAUUUAUUUAUUUAUUUUUAUGUGGUGCUGAGGAUCAAACUAAGUGCCUCACACGUGCUAGGCAAGUGCUCUACCACUGAGCCACAACCCCAGCCCUCUUUCAUUUUUUUAUUUUUUCAUACAUAAUUGUUCACUGUUAAAUGUGUGCUGAAUGUUAUGGAGUUUAUAGGGAUAAACACUGUUCUUGCCUCAAGAAAUUUGCUUUAACUCAUGUAGAUAAGAUUGCAGAAAAAAAGCAAGAUAAACAUCAUGUGUAAGGAUAAAUGUGAAUAAAAGGGUUCAGAGGGGAAAGAUGUCCAGAGUUCUCGGGUACUGCGGUAUUCAUUUAGGACAGUGAGCCAAACUGAAAGUCAAGCUUUUGCUGAUUUAUGGUGAUAAGUAAGAAGUCAUGAAGGAAUGAGUGGGUUCCUUCAGUGUUCCAUUUUUCCCAGCAAAUGACACUAGUUGGAGGUCCAAUGACUCAACCCAGAUCACAGUUAGAGGGUCUUCUCACUGCCAGGAGGUUCCAAAUAGAAAACUUCUGCUUUAUGGACUUGAGAGCUAAAAAGGUAGGGACAAGAGGGUUAAAAAUGGAAACAUACUAAGUGAAAGGUCCUUACCGCCUUAUUUGCUCUUAAGGAGGUCUUCCUGAAGGUAUUUAAAAAGAAUCUCAGUAUAGGGUUUCCUUCCCAUGGGGGGCCUUUGAAUAGAGUGACAAGGCUAGGAAUGCAAAUAGCUCACCGUUGGGGAAGAAGAUGAAAUUGCAACUUCCUGUAGAAAUCAUGAUGCCCUAACUAACUAUGCACCAAGUCUGGUAUAAGAAGGGCAGCCCACCCUAUCCUUUGUCCUACCCCUGCAAAUCCUGUCACAUAAAGCCUGUGUAAUUGCCUGUGAUUGAGUAUGAAAGGAUUUUGGCCUGGACUGGAUUGCUAAGAAAAGUUAUUUAGAUGGUAGGAUUUGGAAGACCUUUACUAAAUGAAUGGUAUUAAAUUGCUUCUUGGGGAAGAGGGAGAAUUUGUGGUAUUCAGCUUUGCAGUGAGAGUGGGGAACAACAAGAGGAAAAACACUUAAGCAGACUGAGUGAGUUUAAAGAACCCUUUGGUACAUUUGGUUGUGUAAUACUCUCUAGGGUGAGAAGGGUAGGAAGGCGGACUAAAUCAUUUGUAGAUAAUAUGGAAGUACAUGUUGAUUUUGAAGUAGGGGAAUAGAGCUAAGUUUAUCUUAUAAUAGUGAACAAGAUGAACUGGAUAACAGAAAGAACAUUUGGGAAACUGUAAAAUAAUUUGACCCAAGGAACCUUUAUGAAGCGAGGUGGGAGGUCAUGUUUUUACUUAAGAUGUUAAUAACUAUUGUACCUCUUGCAAAAAUGUACUUAAGAGUUGGAAUGCAGCAAUGGAAGAGUAACCCUCUAACUUUUCUCUGAAACUCAACUGCCAUUCUCAAUAGUUACGACUGUUUUUCUUUUCUCCAUGCUUCCCUUUGUUUCUUUACUACUGGUAAGUCACAAUUUUUUUUCUUAAAAAAUAUUUUUCUGGCUAUCAAGUGAGCUCUUAUAUUUUGAAGCAGUGCUAAGUAAAAAUUUUGUNCUCAUGAGGCUGAGGCAGGACUAUCUCAGGUUCAAAGCCAGCCUCAACAAUUUAGCAAGGUCUGAAGCAACUAAGUGAAAAACCCUAUCUCUAAAUAAAACAUAAAAAGGGUUGGGGAUGUGACUCAGUGGUUCAGCACCCCUGGUUCAAUCCUGGUGUCAAAAAAGGAAAGGAUUAAUUAAAACUACUUAUUUUACAUAAUUAUCAACAUUCAGAGUUGAAUUAACUUGGAAGGAGGAAGAUUAAUGUGCAAUUAAUAUUUUGGUGACUUUGUGAAUUGGGCAAUUUUUGGUGAGCUAUCCUGAAUGACUACUCAUUUUUUUCUAGAGGAGAAUUUCAUUUUAGAUAAGUGGUUUCAAUGAACUUUUGAAGAAUGAUGGUAAAUCAUACUAAACUCAUUAAACAGAUAGUCUGAAGACUUAAACGUUUUUGAUACAAUUUACAAACCAUGUUAAGCCAGUCUUAUUUUUGACCCCCUUUCUUCUUAUGUCUUUCUAUUGAUGUAUCAAAAACAGUGGUUUUUAUACUUUUUUUCCCCUUUUUGUGUACAACAGAGUGGUUUUUUCAAAUGAAAUGUUUCCAGAAGCCUGAGCUGAAAAGAGAAGAGGAUUGCUGGUUCAAGUAGGGAAGGAGCCCUAGAGCAGGUGUCUUCCAGAGUCCUAUAGCAGCCUCUGUGGCAUCUGUAUAGUUCAGGACAUGGUUUGAAAACUACCCACUUCGAAAUACUUUGUCCCCCAACAGAAGAUAAAAAUAAUGCUACAUUUAAAAGAAAAUUCAGAGGAAAUGACUGUUAUCUUUUCUCCUUAGUUCAAGAUAAAAUACUUGAAAAUACACAGACCUUUUAUAAGGUCUUUUGUGUGUGUUGGGGAGCGUAUUGGUAAUUUAAUCCAGAGUUGCUCUACCACUGAGCUACAUCUUCAGUCUUUUUUAUUUUUUGGGAUAGGAUCUAACAAAGUUGCUGGUCUUGAACUUGUGAUCCUUCUGCCUCAACCUCUGGAAUAGCUGGGAAGGUUUUUAAACAUUCUUGAUUAGCUUAUAUGAAAAGUAUCAGAAAGAAAAUUGUGAUGCAGUGUUUUUUUCUUAAUGUCAACUUAAGAUGUCAUUGACAGAAUGUAGAAUUUGAUUUCUUACUACUUAAUGACACCUCCCCCCAAAGGCAUAUACAAAUGUUUAUUUUGGAAAGUAGAUAACACAUUUAAGAGAGAAUGGGAGCAGUCUCAAAAAAGAGAUGCCUUGGGGUAAAGCAAGGAAUAUUCCUAGGGAGCAUGUGGGUUAUCUCCAGAGGGAGAGACAGCAACCCAUUAGUGUGGGCCACUCAUGUUUAUAGAGGGCAAGUGCUAGGGGAUGAACUAGAGGUGGAGCCAGAGUGGAGCUACACAGUUUUGCACCAGUUUCCCUUUGCUUGUGCAUUUCCUUAACAUGCAUGGGCCAAGGGCAUGUAGCUCAAGAUUGACAAUUGUGCUUUCUGCAUGUCAAUGGCUAGUGGGCAUUUCCUUUAAGACUCUCUCUCUUUAUCCUAAAUCCCUGUGUCCUAUGUAAUGACUUUUAAUAUUAUAUAAUAAGUAUUAUCUUAGAAAACCUGGUUAAAUCAAACUUUAAGAAAUUAAAACGUAUUUAUUCAGAAUAAUGGGUAUAAAUUUUUCUUCUUUUUUAUUUAUUUGUAUCCUCUGUUUUGGAGAAGGUCCCCAAAACACUUCUAGAUUUCUUCUACCCAUCAAAUGUUUGUUCUCUCCCUUCCCAAUAGGAAGCAACUACUAACCGCCUACCUGAGCACAAGUUUCAGAGAAAUUUUAAUCUACCUGUCCUUAACCACCUCAGUUCAUGCUGUCUGUUCAAAUAGAAUUUAUAAUUAAUUACUUAAGUAUCUUUUUAAAGAAAUAUCUUUAUAAAAAGAACUUUUAACAUCAUUUUGGAAGAAUUAAACCAACUCAUGUAAAUGCUGUAGGUAUAAAGUGCUGCUUAAUAUCAUUUACUAGAAUGUAGACAAAGUGGUCCUGAAUUCAUUGUUUAAUUCUCUGAAACUGCUUAAUAAAUCUGCUAACAUUGACAACAUUUAAGUAAUGCAUAAUGCAGUCACUUAAUCAUGUAAAAUGACUUUAAAUCGUAUCUUUAUUCUUAUUUUGCAUUUUUAUGGGAUUUUUAUUACAAUAUUAUUUGAUAGCUUAUUAAAAUUUACUAAGUUGAUUUCUCCUUAGGAAGAAAAAUUCUAAUGCAAAUAUAUUGAAAAAGUCUUAUUUUUUCUUUUUAGUAGUAAGAAUAUACAUUUCCCCUAAAUAACUUUAUCAUAAUCUUAUCCCCAAAAUUAUUGCUUUUUAAAUGCAAUGAUUUGGUAUAUUUAAAUAUUAUUUUAAAAACAUGUUCGGGCUUUAAUCUUUUUGGAGGUUUUAGAGCUAGUGAAAAGCCUAAUCCUGUCUAGUUUACCAUAAUGCAUCAUUUGAUAGAAGAGGUCAUUUUUUAAUAGCAGAAAUGCUUUAUAAUACUUGAUAAGCUUGUGCAUGGAUUUGUACAAGUGCUUUUUCUCUUUUUAAGAAGAAAAGAUCGAGAUCAAAAAUACCUACUGCUAAUAAAAAAGAUUAGUUAUGAUUAUAAGAAAUAUAGCUUUCCAUUGCUUUUUUUAUUAGUGCAUAUUAAUUUUACAACAUGAUGGGUUUCAUUGUGGUAUAUUCUUGACUUUGCUUUAUUUAAAUUUAAUUACAAAUAUAUAAGCUGUAACCCAAUUUCUUUCUUGCUUUUUUUUCUUUCAGUAAAUCUUGUCUCAUUUUGGCAUUGUUUCUCAUUUCAACUGUGUGUUCUUUGUAUAAAUCUUGCUCAGUCUGCAUGACAUUAGUGUUUUCAGCCUGCUUUGUAUUAAUGGCUUCUUACAUUUGAAUGUUUAUAAUUGGCAGUUCUCUUCAAUAAUAAUUCAAAUUAAAUGAUGCUGUUUCUGCAACAUAAUUAGAAAUAUUUUUAAACAUUAUUUUCAUAAUAUGUAAUUUUAAUUUAUGAAACAUUUCCAACAUAAAAUACUUGUUUUUCUUUUUUUUCCUAUUUAUAUAGAAGUGGUACACCAUCCCCCAAACGGACAUCCGUAGGUUCCAGGCCACCAGCAGUAAGAGGCAGCAGAGACCGUUUCACUGGGGAAUCAUACACAGUGCUAGGUAGGAUAAAACAAUAACUCUUAACAGUCUCAAAUUAAAGGCACCACAGCCACACUGAUAAAUUUUCUACUCCUCAGAGCUAGAGCAGUUUCCUGUGUAUUGAAUGAAUCUUUGCAGAGGUUUAUCCCUAUUGAAGCUUAAUUACUUGGGGGCUUUUGAAAUUUACUCAUUAGUCAUACUUUUAAAAUUCUUAUUUUAACUUACUAGUGAUUCCUAAUAUAAGCAUAACCCUUGAGAGGUUGGUAAGGAAGAAAAUUCUGAAGAAUUUUGUACUCAGGGAAAAAAAAAACUACAAAAGUAAAGUUAAGCAAGUACUCUGCAUUUAGUGUCUGUAUGUUAACAUGAUUAUUUUCAAAGAGAAAUUGAAUUUAAUUUUUUGAAUUAAAUUUGUGGAAUGAAUGAUACAUAAGAAUCUGUGUAAUUCCUGAGAAAGAGAUUAGAGUCGAGUAUCUUUCUUAUCUUUUGUAGGAGACACUGCUAUUGAAAGUGGACAACAUUAUUGGGAGGUCAAGGCCCAGAAGGACUGUAAAUCCUAUAGUGUGGGAGUAGCAUACAAAACUUUGGGGAAAUUUGACCAAUUGGGAAAGACAAACACUAGUUGGUGUAUCCAUGUCAACAACUGGCUACAAAAUACUUUUGCAGCAAAACACAAUAAUAAAGUCAAAGCUUUGGAUGUUACUGUUCCAGAGAAAAUAGGUGUAUUUUGUGAUUUUGAUGGGGGUAAGUUUACUUACUUUUUCAUAAGUCAUUUCAUCAUAACUACUUAUGUUUCAGUACUUUUCAUUGGUAAUCACCUCUACAGAAUUUCUGUUAAUAUCAUGGUAAGGACAUUUUGGCCAACUAGGUUUUGAUCACAAACAUAAUCUCAGUACUAGAGUUAGACUGGAAGGGCAUAUUAUGUCUGCCUGGAGCUCUAUAAAAGCACUCAUUUAUAAUAUGCUAAGUCUGAAAUAUUUUGCUAAUUUUAGUCUUAAACACUAAAAUUUUUCUUGUUUUUAUUCCUUCCUUACUGUUCUAUUACCCGUGUAUAAACAAUGGUGAAGUCAGAUUUUUUGAGUUGGAAUAAACCUUGGAAAUUAUCCAGUCCAUCUUCCACACAAUAUAAAAUUUGUAUUACACUAUUUCUGCAGGAGUUGCCACUUCUUUGCUCAAAUAACUUUUUAGUCUGAACAUUAUUGUCUUAGAAGUCCUGUUUCUUGGGAGGGCUCUUGAUUAGGUUUUUCUAAAAUGAACUCACUUUACCUCUCUGUAAUUUGUAAAAAUGUUGUUUUUAAAUUCUGACACCUGAAUAAACACAGAAUUAUAUUUUGUAAUUCACACAAUAAUUCUUAUUUGUUAAAAUGCAUUAAAUUGAUUUCUUUUCAAAUCCUUAUAAUCUCCUAAAGUGAUAUACUAUGUCAAUGCAUUUCUUAAAACAUUGGUUUUACAAUGUUUCUUUCCAAGUUGUCACUUUAAGCUAAUAAUGGAAAAUUUUUAUCAUUUUAAGUCACAUUGGGUCCAGACAAUCCCAUGCUGUCAACUUAAUCACUCAAAAAAGGAAAAAAAAAUUAAUUUGGGCCAAUUUAUUUUUAGUGAUGACAUGUCAGUUUGGUACAUUCUUUUUUACUUAUUCCCUUUGAAUAAGAUGAACCAUUUUCUACAGAAUGACAAAUUUACUGGUGCACUUUAAAAAAUAUAUAUUUUCAGCUACCAGGACAAUAUUUGCUUAUCAUCCUUUCUCCUUUCCCAUAUGGUUAUUUUAUAUAGAUGAUAGGGAGAAGUAAUUUUAGCUAACAGCAUAGAGUACAAAGGGGGAAGCUGUAAUGUAGGAUGUAAUCAGAUUCUGAGAGCCUUGAAAAAAUGUUUAUAGACUAGUCUUUAGUAGUGGGGAGGGUUGGCUGUGUACAUUUUAGAAAAAUAUAGUCAUGUGAUGAUAAUCUUAUAUUAGAAAUAUUAGAAAGUAAGUGAUUAAAAGACGGAAGAGAUUACAAAAAUAAAGAGCAUAAGACGUUUUAGGAGUUAGUCUAAAGUAUAAGGCAUGACCAUGUUUAUUUUGUUAACUAUUAAAUUGUUAUUGCCUGCUAAGUGCUUUUAACACAGGAAGUCCUAAUAAGUAUUUGUUAAGUGAUUGGCAACAAAAACCCAAGCAGUUGGAAAUCAAGAAUGAAAUUGAUGGUGUAAAAUUUAUAGAACUUGGUAACUAAAUAUAGAUUGGGGGAAGAGACAAAGAAGAAUGGAAGGCAGCUCUGAGGUUCCAGCCAGUGUGACAAAGAGGAUGGCAGUGUCAGUGGGUUAAGGAACAGAGAGAGUCCAGUGGAAAACUGAGAUUAUAGCAGGACAACCAUGUGACAUAUUUAGCAAACAUUUAGAAAUUCUUGAACUCAGAAGUAGAGCUGAAACUAAAUAUUUGAAGCAGCAGCACAGAGUGACUACUGAAGAUUACACAGAAUAAUAUGCUUGAACAUUAUUGCACUGUUGUUACUAACUUUGCAAUCAUGUAGGUUGCUUCAUGUUUUGAGAUAAUCAUAUAUAUAAAGCACCAAGUACUUUAACAGUAUACAUAAAUGUUAGUUUCUUUUUCUUACUCUCUGGUAGCAACUGGUUUAUUAAGAGAGCAUUUCAUAAAUGCUCUCUUAACACAGACAAAGCAGCUUUAAAGCAGAAUAGGAGGAAAAGGAAGAGAGAGAAAGUAUCUUUAGGGUUAGGAUUCAAACCAAGAAUAUAGUCAUUAAAGAAAGGCUUCGCGAACUAACAGUCCUAUGGAGGUCAUCAGAUCAGAUUAGAUAGGAGGUCAGAUGGAGUUAUUUUAAGGCAUGAUCCUGUUGAAAGACAGACUGUGAGGGGAUUUGAAAAUUAACAAAGCUGAAGCAGUGAUGAAUAUACUAUGAUUUCAGAGACUGGAGUAUGAGUCUGGCCUUAAGUAGUUAGUAUUUUAAAUAUAGUAAGCCUUAAAUAAAUAGAGGAUUUGGGUAGAGUAAAAAUAAGGAGGAAGAAACUUCCUUGUUUUUUUACUGGGCUCAUGAAAAUUUUUGUUAAAUAAUGAUAAAUAGUUUAUAGCUGAAUAAGUACAACAGUGUCAGAUUAUGGUGAAACAGUAUGGAGAUCUUAAAAACAAGGGGAAGAAGAAGAAAAUUGGAUUUGGGCAUUUUCUUAAGCACGUUCACUGAUUUUUCUAGUGAAAGUAAGUUCAAUCCUUAGAGUUUGUAAUAAAAAAUUAAUGCAAAGAUGGGCCUUAAGUUAUUAUUUUUGCAUGACUACACAUUAGACUUUAUUAGAGUUAUAAUUUCUUGUAUAAUAAAUAAAAGGCUUUUUUUCCCUCUUCCUUUUAGGUCAACUUUCUUUUUAUGAUGCAAAUUCAAAACAGCUGCUGUAUUCUUUUAAGACAAAGUUUACUCAGCCAGUACUGCCUGGUUUCAUGGUUAGUACCUAAUUUAUAUUUUAUUUAGUUUGACAACUUUAAGAAGAAUAAUCUUUAUUAUUUGGGAAGCAAACAUCCUAUUUUUUUCUUCAUAGUCAUCUCCCUUUCUCCAUUCCACUCUCUGAAAUAUGCAAUUUUUUCUGUACAAUUUUGGUAUACUUUGUUGAAGUCAAUGUUGAUAAAUAAAGGUACACAAAUCAUAAGCAUGUAGUUUAGUGAACUGUUAUAGGACUGUAUUUGCUUUUGUAACUAGACCCUAGGAUAAGAAAGAGAACAUUACCAGAAUCUCAGAAGCCCCUGUGCCCAUUUCCAGUCCCUAAUGGCUCGUCUCCAAAGUGUAACCAGUACUGUAAAUUUAAAUACCUUAAGUUCAUUUACCACUUCUUUAUAUAUAAGUGGAAUUAUAUCUUUCUGACUCCAAAUUAUAUAUGUGAGGUUUAUCCAUGUACCAUGUUGUAAUUCCUUCAUUCUCACAGUUAUAUAGCUUUCCAUUAUAUGACUAUAUAAUAAUUUACCCAUUUUAAUUUAGUUGAAUAUGUGGAUGGUUUCCAUUUGGGACUGUAUGUGUAUAUAAUUUCAGAUCUACUCAGUUACAGACUUACUUAUAUAAGAAAAAUUCAUAUUUCAUACAAAUUGAAACAUGGAUUUGAAUUCCUUAUUUUUAAGCAAAUGUUGUUGUUCCUUCCAACACCUUAACAUUCUACAUUUCUCCAUAAAGUUAGGCUACUGUGGGAAAUUCCAAGAUCCAGUUAAGGUCACCAUUACUUUGGUGAGAACUUUCCUUGAUGUGGGGACUCCCUGUAUAAAUCAGAUGAUAUAAUUCAAGUACAGGUUCUGUGGAGUGUUUUAUGUGUGUAGUCUUUCAUUACCCCUAAAUAUAAUCCCCCAAUAUGAAGAGGAAGUAUUUAGGAUAUAUAUGGGUUGAAAACACAGUGCUUUAAAUCUCAUGACAAAUAGUAUUUUUUUAUUCUAGAUACCCUAAAAUAUUAAACUUAAUGCUAACAAAGACUCCUGGUUUUUCACUGAAAUCAGAAGUAAAUAGUGAAUAAAGUUAUUGCUCAUGGAAAAAUUAUUAGAAGAUAUUAGAUGGAUUGUUUCUCUCUUUUUUAUUUUUUUGUUGCCUUUUUUUUUUUUUUUUCACUUUACUACAAAUCUCCACUGUAUUGGAUAUUUUGGGCUGUUUUUCCAAAUUGGCCAAUUAGAGACAAAUUGUUUACCAUAUGGAACUCAGAAGAGAUUUUUUUUUCAAUUCGUAGAUGUACUUUUAUAAAAGAUAUUUCACUUGUAAUAUGAAUCUAUUUCAUGUAGAUAGGUACUGAGUUUAUUCAUUGUUAUUUUCAUUCCAUAUAAGGAGACUAAUUACACAUCUGCAUCAUAAGAUGCUUUACAAAAUUAUUUUAAACUUGUUUUUUUCUUCUUUUAAGUCUUUUGUUUAUUACGUAAAUGAGUAUUAAUAUUUUCAUAUAUGAUUAAUUUUUAAAGCCAGGUUUAUGAGCUAUAAUUUAUAGUAUUGUAUAAUUCUGUGGGUUUUGACAAAUGCAAAAACAAAACCACCAUCAUGAUCAAGAUAUAAAACAUUUCAGCACUAUAGAAAAUUUCUUUAUAUUCCUUUGUAGUGGACGCCUCCCAUUACACCCAGCCCUAGUAAUACGUAAACCAUUUUUAGUCCCUGUAGUUUUGCUGUUUCCACAAAGUCAUGUAAAUGGAAUUGUAAGGUAUAUAAUCUUUUGUUUAUGUAGCAUAAUGCAUUUGAAACUCAUCCAUGUUGUUGUGUUUGUUAGCUUUUUUUUUUUUUACUGCUAAGCGGGUUUUCAUAUAUGUAUACACCACAGUUUAUUCAUUCAUUCACCAGUGGAAGGACAUUUAAGUUUUUUCCAGUUUGGGGCAAUUAUGAAUAAACGUGCAGUAAACAUUCACGUGAGGUUUUUGUGUGAACAUACAGUUUCAUUUCUCUUGGGCACAUAUCUAAUAUAUGGUAGGGUUCCUGAAUUACAUUGUAAAUGUAUGUUUAUAGAUGCAAAAAUUAUUAACAAAAUAUUGGUAAAUCACAUAGAAAAACACAUUUAAUAGAUAUUGCACCAUGAUCAAGUGGUUUUCAUCCCAGGUGUGCAAGGUUGGUUCAACAUAUGCAAAUCAAUAAAUGUAAUUCAUCACAUUAAGUAGAAUUAAGGACAAGAAUCGCAUGGUUAUCUCAAUAGAUGAAGAAAAUGUAUUUGACAAAGUCACACCCAUUCCUGUUCAAAACACUAGAGAAGCUAAGGAUAGAAGGAACUUAUCUCAACAUUGUAAUAGCUAUAUAUGACAAACCCAAGGCCAGCAUUACACUGAAUGAAGAAAAACUGAAAGCAUUUUCACUGAAAACAGGAACAAGACAAAGAUGCCCACUCUCACCACUCCUAUUCAACAUAGUUCUUGAAACUAUAGCCAGAGAAAUCAGGCAAGAGAAGGAAAUUAAAGGAAUACUAAUAGAAAAAAAAAAAAAAAAAAAGCUCAAAUUACCCCUGUUUACUUAUGACAUGAUCCUCUACUUUUUAGACCCAAAAAACUCUACCAGAAGAUUUCUAGAGCUGAUAAACACAUUUAGUAAAGUAGCAGGAUACAUAAAUCAAUCACUUUCUUAUGCUCUAAUAACGAAUCUGCUGAAAAAGAAAUUAGGAAAACUGCUCUCAUUCACAAUAACCUUUAAAAAAAAAAGUAAAAUAAAAUACUUGGGAAUUAACCUAAUGAAGGAUGUGAAGGACGUCUACAUUGAAAACUAGAACACUGAAGAAAGAAAUUUAAGAAGACUUAGAGGAUGGAAAGGCCUCCCAUGUUCUUAGAUAUGCAGAAUUAAUAUUGUCAAAAUGGCCAUACUACCAAAAGUAUUUGAUGCAAUCUCCAUCAAAAUGACAUUUUGCACAGAACUAGAAAAAGCAGUUCUAAAAUUCAUUUGGAAAAAUAAGAAACCCAGAAUAGCUAAAGUAAUCCUGAGCAAAAAAGAGUUAUGAUGGAGGUACUGCAGGCAUCAUGAUACUGGACAUCAAAUUAUACUACAGAGCUAUAUUAACAGAAACAGCAUGGUACUGGCACCAAAACAGACAUGAAGACCAAUGGAAAUGAAUAGAAAAACAGAGACAAACCCACAUAAAUACAGUUAUCUGAUGGUAGACAAAGAUGCCAAAAACAUGUUGGAGAUAAUACACACUUUUUAAUAAAUAGUGCUGGGAAAACUGGAAAUCCACAUGUAGAAGAAUGAAACUUGACCCCUCUCACCCCACACAAAUCAACUCAAAGUGGAUCAAAGACCUAGGAAUUAGACCAAAAAUUCUGCAACUACUAGAAGAAAAUGUAGGCCCAAUGCUUGAACAUGUUGGCACAGGAACCAGCUUCCUUCAUGAGACUCCUAAGGUCCAAUAAAUAAUACCAAAGAUCAAUAAGUGAGAUGGCAUCAAAUUAAAAAGCUUUUGGCUGGGAGUGGUGACACAUGCCUGUAAUCCCAGCAACUAGGGAGACAGGAGGAUUGUGAGUUCAAAGCCAGCCUUAGCAGAAGUGAGACACUAAGCAACUCAGUGAGACUCUGUCUCUAAAUAAAAACAAAAUUGGGCUGGGGAUGUGGCUCAGUGGUUGAAUGCCCCUGAGUUCAAUCCCUGGUAUAGAAAAAAGAAAAAAAAAAUUGCAUGGCAAAAGAAACAAGAGUAUGGAGAGGGCCUUGAGAAUGGGAGAAGAUCUUUGCCACGUGCUCCUCAGGUAGGACGCUAGAAUAUAUAUAAAGAACUUAGAAAACAACAUUAGGAAAAACAACACAAUAAAUUGCCGCAGUCUGGCUGGGCACAAAUGCCGCAGUCUGGCUGGGCACACAAUCACGAGCCACCACACAGCUUGUAGAUUCAAACAGCAACUCUUUAUUCCGGAACUCACACCAGCCGUCUACAAUCACGUUCUGGGGAAAUCCACGUUCUCUGCCCAAAUCCACGUCCACUGGGCUUCUAUCUCCAAAAUAUAUUGUCUGAAUCCCGUGAGAACUCAAGGGGAACUCAGGCAGCAGGAUACGCCCUAUUCCCAGCAGGAAUAAUCUUAAACCUUAAACCUGGAACCUAAACUGGGAACGCCCUAAACACGAUUAUCUUAAAACCGGGAACACCCUAAUCUGCCUUGGUCCUUGAGCAAGGUCACGUACAUUCAAUGUCACUGCAACAUGUCAGCAACAUGGGGUACGCUGGCAAGGAAAUUGUCAUACCUAUUUGGCUAAUGGCUCCCAGCAAUAAAUAGGCAAAAGAACUAAAUGGACACUUCUCAGAAGAAAUACAAAUGGUCAUAAAUAUAAGAAAAAAUGUUCAGCAUCUCUAGAAAUAGGGCAAUGCAAAUCAAAACUACAUUGGUAUUUCCUAAUGGCAGUUAAUAAUAAAUGUUGGUGAGGAUGUGGAGGGGAAAGUAUACUCUCAUUGUUGGUGUGAUUCCAAAUUAUUGCAACCACUCUCACUUCUCAGUACGUAUCCAAAAGAUGUAAGAUCAGCAUAUUAUAGGAAUGUAGCCACAUCAAUGUUUAUAGCAGCACAAUUCCAACAGCCAAGUUAUUAAGCCAACUGAGGUUCCCCUUCCAACAAAUGAAUGGAUAAAGAAAAAUAUAUAUAUAUAUAUAUACACACACACACACAAUGGAGCAUUACUAAGCCACAAAAAAGAAUGAAAUUAUGACAUUUGCUGGUAAAUGUAUGGAACUGGAGACUAUAAUGCUAAGUGAAAUAAGCCAGUCCCUCAAAGUCAAAGGUAAAAUGUUUUCUCUCAUAUUCAGAAGCCAGUCCAGAAUAAGGGAGGAAGGGAGUGGGGGAGAGAAAAGGUGAGGGAAUUCCAUCAGAAUUGAAGAAAGAUUAGUGGACUAUAUUAAGGGGAUUGAGGGGCAGGGAAGAGGGACAGGCUAAGGGAAUAACAGUGGAAUGAAUCUGAUCUAACUUUCCUAUGUACAUAUAUGAAUAUACAGUCUCACCAUCAUGCAUAUCCAUGACAUUAAUAAAAAAAAAACUAAUAGAUCAGGAGAAUAGAGGGAAGGAACAUGGGGAGGAAAGAGAAGGAGGAAAGGGCAAGUACUGAGGACUAAAUUAGAGCAAAUUAUGUUCUUUUAUAAUUAUUUCAAAAUGAAUCUUAAUAUUACAUAUAAUAAAAAGAACCAAUAAAAAUUCUUUUUCCUUAAAAGCUUUGUAAAAAGCUACCAAAAUGUUUGCCACGGUGGCUGUACCAUUUUUGCAUUACAACAGCCAUGUUUAAGUUUUUCAUAUCCUUGUAUCAUUUGGUAUUGUCAAAUUUUUCUUACUGUCCACAAGCCAUUUUCUUACUGUCCAUAAGCCAUAUAUAGUGGGUUUUUUAUCCUGUUGUUAUUUGCAUUUUCCUACUGACAAAUUAUGUUGAGCAUAUCUUUUCAUGCACUUAUUUUCCACUUGCAUAAUUUCUCUGGUGAAGUAUGUGUUACAAUUCUCUACUCACUUUUCUUGGGAUAUUAAUUUGUUUUCUUAUUGUUUUAAGAGUUCUUUAUAAAUUUUGGGUAUAAAUGCAAAAAUUUUUGCAGAUGUUACCUCCCAGUUCAUAGCUUGACUUUUCAUUUUAUAGACAUUUCCAAAGUGAAGUUUUUUAUUUUCAGAUGAAGUCCAAUUUAUCCAUUUUUUUCCCAUUUGUGGAUAAUGCUUUGCUUAUACGUACCUAUACAUAUGCAUGGCAUACAGGUCACAAAGAUUUUCUCUUGUAUUUCUUCCUAAAGUUUUACAGUUUUAGGUUCUCUUUUUAGGUCUAUGAUCCAUUUUUAGUUAGCUUUUGUAUAGUAUAGUUGGAGUUUCAUGUUCUCUGUAUAUUGAUAUCCAGUUCUUCUAGUACCAUUUGUUGAAAAAGAUUUUAACUUUCUCAUUAUCACCUUUGUGCUAUUUUGAUUAAAUAUUUUUCUAAGUCAAUUAAAUAACUUUUAAAAGGUAACCUAUAAAUUUUAUAAUUUGAGGAUUGAUUUGUGUUUUGGGAGUUUAUCAUUACUGAGCCUGCUAGUUUUAAAAAUUUAGAAUGUUAAUUGUAUUAGUUAUAAAUUUUACAGAGCAGUAGAUUCUUUGGUUAAAUACGCUGUGUAGUAAAUACUGAAUGAUACAGGAUAUAAUUGAGAGUGAAUAUACAUAAAGAACUUGAAUUUUCCUUGCACAAACUAAUGAUAAUUUAGAUGGUCCAUAUGUUCAUAUUUUAAGCAUCUUGACUUUUUCAAAUCUUUUUUACUUUAUCAAAUCAGUAUUUUUUCACAUGCAAAGCAGUUAUAUCUUUCAUAAAUUCAUUCAUAUUUUUCAUAAUUAAUAGAACAUGGCAAGUACAUAUGGAUGUUGUCAUUUGCAGUUUUCUUAGAAGUCCUUCUCAAAAAAUUAUUCAAGUUCUUAUUGUUAAAAACACAGGGAAGAAAUCAAAUGGUUUUUAUUCUGUUAACACAGGGUUGUUAGAUUCCUAUGGUAACAUCAAAACCAAAAGCAAUGAUUGGAAUAGGGAAGUUGAUUCUUUGUACACUUUCCUUGGUUGUGAAGGUUAACAUCAGUAAUGAUAGCCAGUUUCUUUUGCACAGAUUGAUCCAGUUCAGUUUCUCAAUUUCUGCAGCCCUGAGUUUCCACUCUUGGGUUCAGCUUUGUUGGCUUCAGCUACCACAAAGACUUCCUUUUGGCCUUUGCAGCUUUAAAAGAAUACUGAGCCUCUCUACUUCCCCUCAGCUCAAAUAUGAAGGUUAUCAAUUUGGGAUCUGUCAAUUUUCAUAUGCAUGGCAUUUGCCUUUCAAAUAGAAAUUUAAGAAUCAUUUAAUUUCUUAAAAAAAAAAGAAUCAUUGAAUUUCUGAUUUGAGUUGAAAUCUGACUUGAGAUUUGUUUUUGUCUUUUCUUAGGUUUGGUGUGGUGGACUUUCUUUGAGUACUGGGAUGCAGGUUCCAAGUGCUGUGAGAACACUUCAGAAAAGUGAAAAUGGAAUGACUGGUUCAGCCAGCAGCCUGAACAAUGUUACUCAGUAACGCCUAUGCAGAAUGUUUACCCUCCCUCUUGACUGGGUGGCCUUUUCUGUGCAGUUACCUAUCACAGAAAUUUGUGAGUGGUGGAAAUCAGGUUUGCUAUGUUCUGCUUUAAGGCCUGGAAUCUCUUAGCUUAAGCAUCUAGUAUGAAGCAUUUACAGGAAUCUACUGUGCAAUAUCAUAGAAGCAAGCAGUUCUGGAGCAAGAAACUGAUGUUUUGAAGAGUAAAUAGGAAAGAAGGCAGUGUUUAAAUAUUUAUAUAGAAACUCGUUUUUGUGUUUCUUUAAUUACUUUUGUUCUUUUAAAAUGUUUAAUUACAUUUGGUAAUCCUAGGGCCUGAAGUGAAAGGCUUUAAAAAUUUGCUUUUCUUUCUUGACUUUCUUUUUUCCUAUCUCAUCACUACCUGUUAUUUAGUAUACACUAAAUCUUUAAAAUUACAUAGCCCCAGCCCCACCAAGGUUUUCUAAAAAUUGAAAUCAUUGAUUGGGGACAGUAGAAGUUUGUUUUUUUUUUUUUUUCUUACAAUGGUGUAUUUCCCCCUUUUAUAAAUAAGUUGAGUUUUGCUAAAUUAACCUAUUUACUGACUAGUUUUUAUCUCAUCUUCUACUUUCCAGAAUAUAUUGGUAUUUCUCUUGUAGUUAUAACUCCAAAUACAGAGUGAAUAUGAAGAAUUUAAAAAGCUUAAAAUCACCCAGAUUUCAGUUUUGUAUCUGCUAUAGUAACACAAUGGCAAAGGGUUUGCUCUGACUACUUUGCAUUCCAUCACUUUGAAUGUUCAGCAAGAUUUUUAAAAGCCUUAUGUUUUCUGGUAUUGUUGUCUACUUUAACCCUACCUUUAGUAGUUAUCUUUGAUAAAAUUCCCCACUCAUAUUUGGCACUGAUUGUAAUUAUACUCAUUUUUUUAAAAAAAUUAAUAGGAAUGAAAAAAUUUUUAACAUGGUUAAGGGUAGAAUACCAAAGGGAUGUACCUAAAAGUAUUCUUUAGUAAUUAUUUAUUCUUUUUAAUAAGAUGUAGGAAAGGUUGAAACAACUGGAAAAAAAUCUACAUAUCUCUGACUUAAUUGGUGUGUUUUUCAACCAACCAUUCAGAGGUUUUGGGGGUUUUUACCCCCUUAUCCUUUUUGCUAAAGUCAUAUGCUUUUUAAAGGGGUAUAAUUCUUCUAAAAAUCAACAUAGUCAUGUUUCCCAGCCUUGGGAGUGGUAUAUUUAAAUUUAAACAAUGAGUGGUAUUGAACAGAACAAAUCUAUUCUUAAAAAAUUGAUCAAAGUUUGUUACUCAAGUCCUUUGAGCUAAACUAAAAGUUAUAAUUACAGUAUUUAAGAUUUCCUUGAGCAUUUUAAAGAAAUUAAAAUUUAUAUUUUACUUAGUUUUUAAUUUCUUUUAUUCUUUCAUUCUCAUUUUAAAUAUCUUGUAAUAUGACAGCCUUCUUCUGUACCUUUGUUGCUUACAUUUGAGUUGUUUUCUAUAAAAAGACCUGCCCUCUUAAAAUUUACUGCUUACGAUAUGAUGUUUUGUUUCAUUGAUAAAAACAGAUGUAAAUGAGGACUUAUAUUUGACCUGGGGUAUUAUUUUCUUUUCUAGAGGACAGAUAUCCACACUAUUAUCUAAUAAUAGGUUGGUAAUUUUAAAGACUGUAAGGCAGUUAAGGGAAUAAAGUAUGUCAAUAGAUAGUCUUGAGUCUCCAAGUAUAAUUUUGGUUUUUGUUUGUUGUAUUUGGAAAGAAAUUUUUGGAAAGUUCUAUUCCCUAUAGAAGGGCUAUUCUAAGACCCAAGGAAACAGGAAUUUAUUUCCUUUCACACUCCAAAGCAGUAAUUUAGUGGAGUGGCUUUGUGUGAAAAGCUGUACACAGUAUAUUUUAGCAAAUACAAAACAAAAAAACCCAGAUGUUCUUGUAUAGAAUUUUUUUUACUAUUAUGUAUUAUAUAAUUGUCUUCUCAUUAAUUCAGUGCCUUUUUCCUCUAAGCAUGCUCUUUCUUCAUGCCUCAUGCAGUGUCAACUGAUAUUUAAGCCAGACAUAUUACAGUUGUGAGAGCCUUCUGUUGCAAGGGCAUGGGAAAAAUGAAAUAUUAAUUGGGCUGAAAGAGUGCAUACAAUUCUUUUUUGUGUUCUGCCAUCAUUUGGAAUUUGCAUAUAAAUUUUCUAACACUCAUUUGCAAAAUGUUCUAAUUUCAUUGGGAAUUAAUUACUAGCAGCUUUGUAGUAAUAAAUUCAGUAAAUCUGGAGUCCAAGCUCACAUCACAUGUAAUACUUGAUAUUAAAUUAUACCAUCAUUACAUCAAAAUUAGAAUCUGAAGGCUCCCUCUCUGCUGCUGCUUCAGGGUCUCUAAAUUAAGAGCAAAAUGUGAAGUGUUUUAGUUUAACAAUUUUAAGUUGGAUGAAAAAGUCUGUCAUCCUCAUUUUUAAACUAAAAAAUAAUUGAAUAUAGUGCCUAUUUAAAUAAUCUCAAAUAAGGUAACUAUUAACUUGAUAAUAUUUAACAUUUUCAUUGAUGUUUUGAGUUAUAAUGAGCUCUCUUGCUCAAUUCAUUAUGGAAAGUUGCUAAACACUUUUAAAUAUCCUUUAUUGCUUUAUUUACCUUUUGUUUUGACAGGUCAAACAUGACUGCUUUCUAUAAAAGAAAUGCAUGAGAAGUUGACUAUCGUAGGUGCAAAAAUUAUGUUUUAUAAAAAUAUGCAUUAGUAUUGCAUUUCCCUCUUACCAGUUGAAUUCCAAGCCAGUUGUAUUAAACUGGAUAUAGAAAUGAAGGAGCUGCCUUAAGCACUUUAGAAAAGGAAAUUUUCUACAAUUCAUUUUGACACUUGCAGCUUACCAUGUCACAUACAUCUUUAACUUUGGUAAAUAUGUAUAUACCAAGCAUUUAAUAAUAAUGCACAUAGAAAUUUAAUAUACAGUAAUUAUUUGAAUGUUCCAGGUAUAGGUGAAUAAAUUUACAGUAUUAGGGGCAUAUCUUGUCUGUACAUGGGUUUAAUUAUUGGCAUCUGUACCAUUUGACAAACCAUUAACUACUGCUAUACAGCUUACCUUGUUCUGCAAAUAGUAACCAUUCCCUGUGUUAUAUAAAGUGACAUAUUAACUUGCAUUUAUUUUCUCAUUUAUGAAAUUAAAGCAUGAAUAAUAUCAUGUAUAAUUUGAACUGUGAUCCUUGGUGGUAUAAAUAAUAAAAGUAAAUAUUUGUGAUAAAAUCUUUUAAUUAGGCUAAGAUAUUGUUUCAUGACUUACUUAGAAUAAUUAGGUUUUUUUAUGUUUCCAUAAAAUUUUUGUUAUUUGUAUAUUAUUAUUUCUUUUAAAAACAAUUUUGGAAAAGGAUAUAUGUUAAAAAUGAUUAUUCCUCAAAGAGUUUUAAAAGAAAGUAUAACAUCUUAUUAUGAAAUAUGUGAUUCUGGGGUUUAAAAAUUUGGCAAUUUUCAAAUCAUCAUAAUUUCUUAAAGAAUGUAUUUAUUAGAUCUGUGUUCAUUGAUAGGCUAAUUCAUAAAACAAAUAUUUGAGUGUCUGUGAUAUGGCAGUGAAAAUUUUAUUACUUUGCAUUCACAUUUUCAAAACUAGUGUAUUCAAUUUAUUGUGCAGCUAGUUUUGCUUCUUUUUAGUAUGCUGAGACUGCAUUUUAAAAAUAAUGUUUUGUUAAAAAGUCAGAAGUGUUAAAAAGUAAAUUUGUUAGUUUUUAAAAAGCUCAAAUUAACUGCGUAUAAUAUGGUUCACUUUUAUGUAAUCACAUAACAUAGGUUCAGCAAAGCUUAUUUCUUGAGUUUAUUUUUACUAGAUAUAGUCUUUCAGAGAAGUGUAUGGUCACUCUGUAUACAGGUAACCAUAAAAUUAUUUGUUAUUUUUAACCAAAACGUACAUUUCAUAAUGCCAGCACUGGAGUAUUAUAAAGAUCAUGUUUUCUUAGCCAUCAUAGCAAGAUUACCUCAUGUUCAUAGUAGUUUUAGUGGGUUUUUUUUUUUACAGUAUUUACAUUUCUGCAAUUAUGUGUGAUUUUUAAUGUCACAUAUGAUAGCACUGUUACCUGGAAUAUAUGAUUAACCUACAUAAACAUUUUUAAUUGGUUUUGGACAUGUCAUAUAAAGGUUAGUACUGGCUUAAUAAACAGAUACCAGAAAUUGCCACCGUACUUUUCUCCUUGGACUACCCAAUUAUUAAGCUAAAAGUAUUUGUUAUUUUGGGGUCAGUAUAGGGUACUGACUUUUGAUUCAUAAUCUUUUAAGUUAUAUUUGUUUAAGGUGAUAUGUUUUCUUAAUAAUACCCAGUCAAUAUAUGUUAGUCCUUAGGAAUGGAUGUAUAGAGGAUUUCACAGUAAUGUAGGGCAGAAGGUAGGUGAACGUGUUUGCUUUGGCUUGGCACUUAUUAAGUUUGGACUAAUUUAAAAUAAGUCAAAUUGUAAGUGAUUGGCAAAAGCCAUUUUAUUAAUAUUGGAACUUUUUGGAGAGCACAGAACAAUGAGAAUCCAUCUUUUAAAAACAUAUAUAAAACAUUUCUGAUAUCUCUAAGGUACCAAAGCACUGAGUCUAAUUCACCUAAUCUAAGGGAGACUCUUUAAAAUCAAAUUUAUAACUAAUUCAUACUAUAAGAUACAUAAUAGCUAAAGUUUUAGAGUAAUAUAAUUUAUAUUAAAAACCACUAGUCUUUAAAAUACCUAUAUGUGAUAUUAAGAUGAUUUUGGCAUCUUUUUCAAAAGUAUUCAAAAUUUAUCACCUUAGCUUUGUCAUAUACUAGGUCUGUGACAAUUGUGUAAAUCACUCAUCACCUUUGGGCCUCUGUUGCCUUACUUAACUCAUUAUGUCUCAAUUUCCCAAAUAUAAGACACCUAUAAAAACCUAUAAAAUUGCUCAAUUUAAGUUUUUAUAGGUGUCCUAUACAUAGGAGGAGACAGUGGGUUAAAAUAAUUGUAACUUGUUCAGCCUACCUCACAGGGCUGUUGUGAGGAAUAAAUGGAUGGAGUAUGUGAAAUUGCUUCAACAACAGCAAAGUGCUAUGUAAAUGUAAGCUGUUAUUUUUAGUUAAUGGAUUUAAGUGUUCGGAUACUUCUAAAUGCCAUUUACUUUGAUAAAGCAUGUUCUUAAAGUGGUAUCAUCAUUGAUUUUAAAUGUGAUUUUUAAAAUAAAACCUUUUAUCAAGAUGUCAUAUAAUAUUAAUUUAGUUUGUGCAUUACUUGUGGCCUUUUAAUAUUUUCUUAUCUAUUUUAAGACUUUUUAGAGUAGUAAAAGUUCUUCCAUGGCAUUAGUGUAUCAGUGUAGAAGUAUAGCAUAAAGAAACAGUUUUUAAGCAAGCUGCUACUUUUCCAUACAGGAAUUUGAACUUUCAGCUUAAGACUACUCAGUGCCAUGUGCAAAGAGUGAAUUUGGCCUGAAUAACUUUUUUUCCAAACAACUAAAUGGUUCAGGAGUUUGUGUGCUCAGUGAACAUUUGACAACAGUAUUGCAUUGUCCUUUUUAAAAAACAAGAUGCAUUUCAAAACCUUGUAGUAAACCUAAAUAUCAUUUAUUAUCUCACAUACUUAUUUUGCUUUAAAUUAGAUUUAUUAAUGGGGAUUUUUACAAGUUAUGUUAAUCUACAAAUUUCAUAUGUCUAUUAUCUGGACAUGGUUUCACUAUGCAGUAAUAAAAAUUCUAAUUCCUCAGGUUUAACCUUUAAGUUAUGGAUGAAGAACAUUAAUAAACCACAUAUAUGCUCAGUUCUGCAACACUGAGUUAAUGAACAUAUUGCCUCAUUUUCCUUAGAAACAACACAAAGCUUUAAAAUGGUUGUCUUUAAAAUAGAGUAUUUGAAGUGUAGUAACUUGUAUGUUUAAGUAAUAGUAUGUUGUGUAUAGAAUAUCCUAGUUAAGUUUUUACAAAAGCACUUGGAAUAUCUCAUCUAAAAAUUAAACAUUUUUCUCUUUCUUUUGCUUCAGUGCUUGA
rnacentral:lncRNA from 1 species